CCUACGGGUGGCAGCAGUGGGGAAUAUUGGACAAUGGGCGAAAGCCUGAUCCAGCCAUGCCGCGUGUGUGAAGAAGGCCUUCGUGUUGUAAAGCACUUUCAGUGGGGAAGAAAGCCUUGGGGCUAAUACCCUCGAGGAAGGACAUCACCCACAGAAGAAGCACCGGCUAACUCCGUGCCAGCAGCCGCGGUAAUACGGAGGGUGCGAGCGUUAAUCGGAAUUACUGGGCGUAAAGCGCGCGUAGGCGGUCUGAUAAGCCGGUUGUGAAAGCCCCGGGCUCAACCUGGGAACGGCAUCCGGAACUGUCAGGCUAGAGUGCAGGAGAGGAAGGUAGAAUUCCCGGUGUAGCGGUGAAAUGCGUAGAGAUCGGGAGGAAUACCAGUGGCGAAGGCGGCCUUCUGGACUGACACUGACGCUGAGGUGCGAAAGCGUGGGUAGCAAACAGGAUUAGAUACCCUGGUAGUC
rnacentral:rRNA from 1 species